AAUGUAGGCGGUUUUGCAAGUCAGGGGUGAAAUCCCUCAGCUUAACUGAGGAAGUGCCUUUGAAACUGCAUAACUAGAGGACAGGAGAGGAAAGUGGAAUUCCCGGUGUAGCGGUGGAAUGCAUAGAUAUCGGGAGGAACACCAGAGGCGAAGGCGGCUUUCUGGACUGAUCCUGACGCUGAGAUUCGAAAGCUAGGGGAGCAAACA
rnacentral:rRNA from 1 species